ACCCGACCUAGAAGCCCAGCUGGCUUCACCUCUUAAUGGGACUCACGAGGGGCUUUGCAGCACCUAGCCAAGGCACUCUGGCAGCCCAGAGGGAGCUCCUCCCCUGAUCAAGUCCAGCAGGCGUGGCCUGCCGGCCAGAGGGCGGGGCCUGAGGAACCCGCGCCCAUCCGGAACCCGCGCCGGCCUGCAAGCGCCGCGCGCCUCUCCCUCCACACCUCCCCGCGAGCAGAGGGAGCCGGCUCCGACCUCGACCAGCCCCAGAGAGGAGCCCCCACAGUGCAGCGGCAGGCUGAAGGGCUCCUCAAGCGCGGCCAGAGCGGACGCCGAGGCCGAGGAGGCACCGAGAGCGAGGGCUGCUGGCACGUUGUCACCUCUCAAAGGAGCAUGACCAGCAGACUAACGCAGCAAGCAGAUGAUGCUCCUGAUGAAAAGGGCAGACCCAGUUGAGCCUGGGCUACGCUGACACAGACUUUGUUGCUCUUCAUUUGGCAAAGGUAAAUCUGAGUUGAGACUUUUCUUUGAAAUGGUUGUGUGGCCAUAGAGAUGAAAAAAAAUUAUGUUAGCAAAAGUAAAGUAAUUUUUUCUUUCUGAAUCGUUUAUAAAAAUCUUCACAGUUAAUCAAUUUGAUUCAGGGAAAAAUCAUGUAUUGUGUAUGAUUUCCAUGUAUUUCAUCAAAUGUUUCAUGACCUCUGUUGCCUAAAGGAAAAAAAAUAAA
rnacentral:lncRNA from 10 species